UACGGAGGGUGCAAGCGUUACUCGGAAUCACUGGGCGUAAAGAGCGCGUAGGCGGGAUAGCAAGUCAGAUGUGAAAUCCUAUGGCUUAACCAUAGAACUGCAUUUGAAACUGUUAUUCUAGAGUAUGGGAGAGGUAGGUGGAAUUCUUGGUGUAGCGGUGAAAUGCGUAGAUAUUAGGAGGAACACCAGUGGCGAAGGCGACUUUCUGGACUGUACCUGACGCUGAGGCGCGAAAGCGUGGGUAGCGAACGGG
rnacentral:rRNA from 1 species